rnacentral:rRNA from 1 species
UACGUAGGGUGCAAGCGUUGUCCGGAAUUAUUGGGCGUAAAGAGCUCGUAGGCGGUCUGUCGCGUCGGCUGUGAAAUCCCGGGGCUCAACCCCGGGCCUGCAGUCGAUACGGGCAGACUAGAGGUAGGUAGGGGAGAAUGGAAUUCCCGGUGUAGCGGUGAAAUGCGCAGAUAUCGGGAGGAACACCGGUGGCGAAGGCGGUUCUCUGGACCGUAACUGACGCUGAGGCACGAAAGCGUGGGUAGCAAACAGG